rnacentral:rRNA from 1 species
UCUGGGUCAACUCGGAGGAAGGUGGGGAUGACGUCAAAUCAUCAUGCCCCUUAUGUCUUGGGCUUCACGCAUGCUACAAUGGCCGGUACAAAGGGUUGCGAUACUGUGAGGUGGAGCUAAUCCCAAAAAGCCGGUCUCAGUUCGGAUUGGGGUCUGCAACUCGACCCCAUGAAGUCGGAGUCGCUAGUAAUCGCAGAUCAGCAACGCUGCGGUGAAUACGUUCCCGGGCCUUGUACACACCGCCCGUCAAGUCACGAAAGUUGGUAACACCCGAAGCCGGUGGCCUAACCCUUUUGGGAGGGAACC